rnacentral:rRNA from 1 species
UACGUAGGGUGCAAGCGUUGUCCGGAAUUAUUGGGCGUAAAGAGCGUGUAGGCGGCCCGGUUAGUCCGCUGUGAAAGUCCAGGGCUCAACCCUGGAAUGCCGGUGGAUACUGUCGGGCUAGAGUCCGGAAGGGGCGAGUGGAAUUCCUGGUGUAGCGGUGAAAUGCGCAGAUAUCAGGAGGAACACCAAUUGCGAAGGCAGCUCGCUGGGACGUUACUGACGCUGAGACGCGAAAGCGUGGGGAGCAAACAGG